GCGGGUAUGGUGGAAUUGGCAGACACGCAAGAUUUAGGAUCUUGUGCCUCACAGCGUGCAGGUUCGACCCCUGUUACCCGCACCA
rnacentral:tRNA from 1 species